UCAAAGACACGCCCGAAUUAA
rnacentral:piRNA from 1 species